rnacentral:lncRNA from 1 species
UGUGUUGUAGAAGAACCUUCUCCUUGUUCUUGUCGUUGUCUAGCUUGUUGCCUCCUUCGUCUCGUUCUGCUAUUCAGUCUCCUUGCGGUUCUUUCGAUCUCGGGAUCAAAAAGAAGUUGGUCCUCAGGAACCUGCCCUCGCAUAAAACGAAAGUUGCACACUAAACCAAACAAAUUAACAAGCACAAGUCAAAAACUCAGAAGUUAAAAAUUCAGCAACUAUUGCGAUGCUCACAAUAUCAAUUCACAAUCCUCGGCAACGACACCAUUUUGUUAGAACAG